rnacentral:sRNA from 1 species
UUAGGCUUUCAAGAUCCAGUUGAGAUUCUAGUUCUUAUACUCAAUCAUACACAUGACAUGUAGUCAUAUUUGACUAUGAAACAUUAACCA